rnacentral:rRNA from 1 species
CCUACGGGGGGCUGCAGUAGGGAAUAUUGGGCAAUGGGCGGAAGCCUGACCCAGCCAUGCCGCGUGCAGGAAGAAGGCCUUCUGGGUUGUAAACUGCUUUUACCAGGGAAGAAAACACCCAUGCGUGGGGAACUGACGGUACCUGGGGAAUAAGCACCGGCUAACUCCGUGCCAGCAGCCGCGGUAAUACGGAGGGUGCAAGCGUUGUCCGGAUUUAUUGGGUUUAAAGGGUGCGUAGGCGGCCCCUUAAGUCAGCGGUGAAAGCCCGGGGCUCA